UACAGAGGGCGCGAGCGUUGUUCGGAUUCAUUGGGCGUAAAGGGUGCGUAGGCGGCGCGGUAAGUCGGGUGUGAAAUCUCGGAGCUUAACUCCGAAACUGUAUUCGAUACUGCCGUGCUUGAGGACUGGAGAGGAGACUGGAAUUUACGGUGUAGCGGUGAAAUGCGUAGAUAUCGUAAGGAAGACCAGUGGCGAAGGCGGGUCUCUGGACAGUUCCUGACGCUGAGGCACGAAGGCCAGGGGAGCAAACGGG
rnacentral:rRNA from 1 species